rnacentral:rRNA from 1 species
CAAGAGCGUAUGUUAAAGUUGCUGCGGUUAAAAAGCUCGUAGUUGGAUUUCAGUCUAGGAAGGUUAACUCGCCGAAAGGUUGUACGUUGAUUUUCCUCAGACUUCGUCAGAAGCUCGUGCUGCACUUAACUGUGUGGUACGAUGUUCUGACCUUUUACCUUGAGGAAAGUAGAGUGUUUCAGGCAGGCUACCCAGCUUGAAUACAUUAGCAUGGAAUAAUGAAAUGGAUCUCGGUUCGAUUUCGUUGGUUCUAGAGCUGAGGUGAUGAUCAAUAGGAACAGGCGAAGGUAUUCGUACUUGAGAGUGAGGAGUGAAAUCCGAUGAUCUCUUAAAGACGAUCCGAGGCGAAAGCAUUUGUCAAGGAUGUUUUCAUUGA